CAUUCAAGAAUCGGCAAGAAUCAUCAAGUUUUUCAUCAAGAUGAGGUGAACAUUGUGCCUAAUCAGAUUCAAGUUUUAAUGUAAGGGUAGAUAUGGUGUAUGAUGCCUGUCUAAAUAUACCCUAGAUUGCUUAUUAAUCUUUUAUAGUUACAAGUUGAUCAUGGAAAUUCUUAUGUACAGUUCUUAUAGCAAAUUAGUUUUGCAGUACAUAGAUAUGAUCACUGAACACUGUAAUUUUAUUAACAUAAUACAGGUUCUCUAGCUUGACGUCAAAUGCAUCUGUAUGCUGAGAGUUGGAAUGUUUUUGCAAGGUCUGAUGGCUGAAUUUGUUGGUUGUUAAAAAUCAGAACAAGCUUCAGAUCUGAAUGUUGGUGACCCAUCUACUGUGGAGGUGGCUACGAGUUGACCAUAGUACGAGUGGUAAGUUUUGUCAUCUAGGCAACAACCAAGGUAGAACUGAAAAAUUGAGGGUUAGAGAAGCUGGUGAGUUGCAAUGACCUGCGCCAAAUGAGACAAAGCUCAGAAGUCAACAAGGGCCAGGUAAUGUGAAAGCUAAUGCAGCGGAUUAUGAGAGUGUUCAAGCUGAUCAACGGAACCUGCUAUAUAAAGCUAAUGAAUUAAAUCAACAAAAUGUGCAAUCUAAAACUGCAGUAGUUGAACACAAACAACAGGGUGGAGUGGAGAAACUUGACCAAUGCUGCCUUGAAGAUAUCCGAGAUUACAAGCAUGGUGGAAAAAACAACUGAAGUUAGGAGAAUGAAGGAGGAAUUGCAAAGAUACACUUUAAUUCA